UCCCUUGUAGCUCAGUAGGUAAAGAAUUUGCCUGCAGUGCAGGAGACCCAGGUUCGAUCCCUGGGUUGGGAA
rnacentral:tRNA from 1 species